CGUGAACGCUGGCGGUAGGCCUAACACAUGCGAGUCGAACGGCAGCACAGUAAGAGCUUGCUCUUACGGGUGGCGAGUGGCGGACGGGUGAGGAAUACAUCGGAAUCUACUUUUUCGUGGGGGAUAACGUAGGGAAACUUACGCUAAUACCGCAUACGACCUACGGGUGAAAGCAGGGGAUCUUCGGACCUUGCGCGAUUGAAUGAGCCGAUGUCGGAUUAGCUAGUUGGCGGGGUAAAGGCCCACCAAGGCGACGAUCCGUAGCUGGUCUGAGAGGAUGAUCAGCCACACUGGAACUGAGACACGGUCCAGACUCCUACGGGAGGCAGCAGUGGGGAAUAUUGGACAAUGGGCGCAAGCCUGAUCCAGCCAUACCGCGUGGGUGAAGAAGGCCUUCGGGUUGUAAAGCCCUUUUGUUGGGAAAGAAAAGCAGCAGGUUAAUACCCCGCUGUUCUGACGGUACCCAAAGAAUAAGCACCGGCUAACUUCGUG
rnacentral:rRNA from 1 species